rnacentral:lncRNA from 1 species
AGGCUCCGUGCCCAGGUGGGUGGCAGAGGGGCUGGAGCAGGAGGUCACCGUCCAGGGCUGACAGGAACCUUCCAGGCCCAGGCUGCUCCAACCCCCACCCCAGCCAUGCAUUCGGGCCAGGAGGGACCAGCUGGAGCCAGCAAAACCCAGUCUGACACCGUAACAUGAGGAGGUCAGCUCCACAUCUGCGCAGCACCAGCAUCUGCACAUGACGCACACAGGGGGCUCUCUGAAGAAAGCUGCCUAUCCCAAACACACAGACUCCCUUCCCCGCCACAGCCACCUAACUGUACAACCUCGGGGCCACUUCCCCAGCAUCCCACUGUGUCUGGUGCAAGUCAGCUAGCGGUGGCUCACGGGACACGGCAGAAAAGCAGGUAUUCCUCGGCACUUGCGCGCAAGCCCCACACGAAGUCUGUCGCUCUGCAAUCCGCUCUCCAGACAGGAACUGAGCCAGCCUGGGGGGCUUGUGGGUCAAUGGGCUGCAGAGCCUCACUUGGACCUCAUUCUGCAGCUCUGUCUACCCUGGACCACAUCGUGAGCUUCUGAGGAGGGAAGAGAUGCCUUCUGGCCACUGAGGAUUUGCGUGAGGGGAAGUAUUCGCAGCUGGUGGCCUUGGAAAUGGGUGGGGGUGGCAGGUGGGGCAAGGCCAUGGGGAGAGGAAGGGCUGACCACAGAGCAGGUCAGGUUGGUCCUGAGGGCCAUGUGCAAAGGCGGAUGUGGAUGUAAGGAAUAUGGAGGAGCUCAGUCUUUUCGGAGUAGGCAGUAGGGAGCCAUGGGCAAUUCUUGAGCAAGAGAGAGGCAAAGUCAGUGCUGCUGAUCAGGGGAGUCGGUGUGAAAGCUUUCUGUGAACAUGUUCCAUGAACAUCUUUAUAGCUAGUAUCGAGGGCCAGGCACAUCCUGAGUACUCUCUAGAUCUUAGCUCCUCUCCCAGUCCUAGGAAGCAGGCACCAUGCUGCCCCACUGCCCAGAUGAGGACAGAGAGGCAGAGAGCAAGGUUCCCCACCAUCUCCGCGAGUGCACGGCGGGACCGGGU